UAGGGAAUCUUCCACAAUGGGCGCAAGCCUGAUGGAGCAACGCCGCGUGAGUGAAGAAGGGUUUCGGCUCGUAAAACUCUGUUGUUAAAGAAGAACAUAUCUGAGAGUAACUGUUCAGGUAUUGACGGUAUUUAACCAGAAAGCCACGGCUAACUACGUGCCGG
rnacentral:rRNA from 1 species